rnacentral:rRNA from 1 species
GACGAACGCUGGCGGCGUGCUUAACACAUGCAAGUCGAACGAGUGGCGAACGGGUGAGUAACACGUGGGUGACCUUCCCUGCACUUCGGGAUAAGCCUGGGAAACUGGGUCCAAUACCGGAUAGUGUGGGAUGGGCCCGCGGCCUAUCAGCGUGUUGUUGGGGUAAUGGUUACCAAGGCGCGACGGGUAGCCGGCCUGCGAGGGUGGACGGCCACAUUGGGACUGAGACACGGCCCAGACUCCUACGGGAGGAAGCAGUGGGGAAUAUUGCACAAUGGGCGGAAGCCUGAUGCAGCGACGCCGCGUGUGGGAUGAAGGCCUUAGGGUUGUAAAGUACUUUCAGCGGGGAGGCGUUACUCGCAGAAGAAGCACCGGCUAACUCCGUGCCAGCCGCCGCGGUAAUUC